GGCCAGUGUAGUGUAUUGGUUUAAGUGUUAGACUGUGACUCUGGAGACUGAGGUUCAGUUCCUAGCUUGGCCA